CAGUAGCCGCGGUAAUACAGAGGGUGCGAGCGUUAAUCGGAUUUACUGGGCGUAAAGCGUGCGUAGGCGGCUUUUUAAGUCGGAUGUGAAAUCCCUGAGCUUAACUUAGGAUUUGCAUUCGAUACUGGGAAGCUAGAGUAUGGGAGAGGAUGGUAGAAUUCCAGGUGUAGCGGUGAAAUGCGUAGAGAUCUGGAGGAAUACCGAUGGCGAAGGCAGCCAUCUGGCCUAAUACUGACGCUGAGGUACGAAAGCAUGGGGAGCAAACAGGAUUAGAUACCCCAGUAGUCCCUGUCUCUUAUAC
rnacentral:rRNA from 1 species